CACCAACCAGCUAGCCCCUCCCCAAAAACAACAAACCAUUAUUAAUACCCCUAAAAAUACUGACACACACGAAACAAAUCAUUUUUCCCCCUUAGUAUGGGCGACAGAAAAG
rnacentral:rRNA from 1 species